GACGAACGCUGGCGGCGUGCUUAACACAUGCAAGUCGAACGAAGUGGCGAACGGGUGAGUAAUACGUGGGUAACCUGCCCUCCUUUUUGGGAUAAGCCUUGGAAACGGGGUCUACUACCGAAUAAAGGGGGAUGGGCUCGCGGCCUAUCAGCUUGUUGGGGGGGUGAUGGCCUACCAAGGCGAUGAUCAGUAGCCGGUCGGAGAGGAUGAACGGCCACAUUGUGACUGAGACACCGCCCAGACCCCUACGGGAGGCAGCAGUGGGGAAUCUUCCGCAAUGGACGAAAGUCUGACGGAGCAACGCCGCGUGAGUGAUUACGGCCUUCGGGUUGUAAAGCUCUGUUAAUCGGGACGCGGUACCAACAGAAGAAGGGACGGCUAACUACGUGCCAGCAGCCGCGGUAAUUC
rnacentral:rRNA from 1 species